CGGGGCUUCUUGUCUUGUGCCAAUAAAAUUUAGGACAUGGAAACAUACAAGGAGUUUAGGAGUGGAGGUUUAAUAGGCAGAAGAAAGAGAAAGAACAGCUGAGAGGGGCUUCCUAAAGGAAAAGACCAGCCAGCAGCGGAUGCGCCGGAUUUUACAGGCAGGCUUGAGGAGGCAGUGUCUGAUUUACCUAUAGCCCACAGACUGCAGGUGUGAUGUUUACAUAGCAUGCGGGGAAGGAUGGCCAUCCAAUCCUAAUCUUAUUAUGCAAAUGAGCUUUCCACUCGACUAGCGCCAUCUUGUCUGCUUCUUACUAUACACGUGGCUGACAAACAGAAGGGAAGAUGGAACCGCCAUUUUGGACAUGAUUGGCACAAGUACUGGCAUCCAUGUCUGCAGCUCGAUUUUACAGACUGCUCUUUAUUAGAAAGGAAAGUUAUUUGGGGCUGCUUUUCAUUAAAAGGAAAACCUUGCCAAGGACUUCUGUACCCUCAAUAUCUGCCUCACUGAUUCCACAGGGAGAAGAUUUCUACUCCCAGCACAUCUUGUCUUCUGGCUUCGUUGCACCAAGGAAGGCUGCGUGCCUUAACCAUCAUCAGAGCAGGGAUGUGGCCCAGGCAGCCACUUCAAGGGGUAUCCUGUUGAGCAAGGACUCGAUGAGUCCCGAAAGCAGCAACCAAAGUGGAAAGGAUCUUAAGAGGAAAACAGCAGGUCACCCAGGAGACUGACCGGGCCCCGAUUCUGAAGACAUUCUGCAGGGGGAGCUAAUGGCAACUUGGGGCAAGUCUGAUUCUCACUCAGAACUGGUCCCAAACCCCCAUCCUCAUGUCGAGCCAAGACUAAACUCCCACAAGGAUGUCUGCCAGGGGAGAAGGGGCUAGUGAAGAAUCCCUGGACUGACCAUGGUGGCUACAGCUACAAAGGCUCCUGUGGGAAACUGGAUUGUCAAGCAGGGGAGGAAGAAAGGAACCAACUCUGUUGAGUGCUUGCUUAUUUAGGAAGCUCUGUGCUGGACUCAAUUUUUGCUGUCGUCUUUAGUACUUACCACAUUUUAAGUUUUGUAAUCCUUAUUUGAGUGGCAAGGAAGUUGAAGUUCAGAAAGGUUAGGCAUUUUGUUCAAGAUGACAGCAUGAUGUCAAAAUAUGAAUCCAGAAAUGCCUGACUCCAACAUUUAGGCUAUUUUCAAUAAAUUGUGGUCAUUCCCUGAAGGAGUCUCAAAUUAAUUUAUUAAUCCUUUGUUCAACACAUAUGGUUUAUUUUCUUUAUUUUUGCUUUUAUUGAGACAGGGUCUCAAUCUGUCACUCAGGCCAGAGUGCAGUGGUGUGAUCACAGCUCCCUGCAGCCUCAACCUCCCAAGCUCAAACAAUCCUCCCACCUCAGUCUCCAGAGUAGCUGGGACUACAGGUGCACAACACCAUACCCAGGUAAUUUUUUUGGAGAUAAUGUCUCACUGUUAUUCCCAGGCUGGUGUAAAAACUCCUGAGCUCAGGCGAUCCUCCCGUCUCGGCCUCCCAAAGUGCUGGGGAUACAGGUGUGAGCCACCAUGCCUGGCUUAUGUUUUUUUCAAAACUAGAAAAUCUCCAGAUGUUAAAAACUAGGCACAUAUUUUUAUAUAACAAUGAAUUGAAAGAUAUUUUUAACUGAAGGAUAAUAAAGAGAGGCAUAUCAAAACAUAAGAGCUGCAGCUAAAGCAGAACUCAAGGGAAAAUAUAUCGUCCUAAAAUCUAUGUAUACAAAAAAGAAAACAAGCUGAAGGAUCAGUGAUCUAAACUUCCAUCUCAAGAAGCUGAAUACGUAAAUCUACCCAAAGAAAUCAGAAAGCAUUUCUAUGUUUCCAAUGCUAAAGAGAAGAGCAAAACCCAAUUAAAUAGAAAAAAAUCAAUGAAGCUAAAGCUUAGUUCUUUGAAAAAGUAAUACAAUUGUUAAAGCCCUCAAGCAAGGUUAAUCCAUGAAAAAAGAGAGAAAAUAUAAGCUGCCAGUACCAGCAACAAGUAUAUUUUAACUGUAUACUACAUAUAUAAAACACUGAGCAUGAAGAGGAGGAGGAAGACGGGGGAAGAAAAACAUGUGUUUUGGAGCCAUCCAGAAGAACUAUAUUCCAGAUUCCAUUCUAGUCAAUUUAAUCCAAUAUGCAUUUGUUGGAAGAGAAUAUAAACUACUAUUAGUUUGGUAUGAAAGGCCUAGAAGGAAAAAGCACAUGAAUUUU
rnacentral:lncRNA from 10 species